rnacentral:rRNA from 1 species
CGAACGCUGGCGGCGUGCCUAAUACAUGCAAGUCGAGCGAACAGAUGAGGAGCUUGCUCCUCUGAUGUUAGCGGCGGACGGGUGAGUAACACGUGGGCAACCUGCCCUGCAGAUUGGGAUAACUCCGGGAAACCGGGGCUAAUACCGAAUAACAGAAAGAAUCUCCUGAUUCUUUUUUGAAAGGCGGCUUCGGCUGUCACUGCAGGAUGGGCCCGCGGCGCAUUAGCUAGUUGGUGAGGUAACGGCUCACCAAGGCAACGAUGCGUAGCCGACCUGAGAGGGUGAUCGGCCACACUGGGACUGAGACACGGCCCAGACUCCUACGGGAGGCAGCAGUAGGGAAUCUUCCGCAAUGGACGAAAGUCUGACGGAGCAACGCCGCGUGAGUGAAGAAGGUUUUCGGAUCGUAAAGCUCUGUUGUCAGGGAAGAACAAGUACCAUAGUAACUGAUGGUACCUUGACGGUACCUGACCAGAAAGCCACGGCUAACUACGUGCCAGCAGCCGCGGUAAUACGUAGGUGGCAAGCGUUGUCCGGAAUUAUUGGGCGUAAAGCGCGCGCAGGUGGUUCCAAAAGUCUGAUGUGAAAGCCCCCGGCUCAACCGGGGAGGGUCAUUGGAAACUGGGGAACUUGAGUGCAGGAGAGGAAAGUGGAAUUCCACGUGUAGCGGUGAAAUGCGUAGAUAUGUGGAGGAACACCA